ensembl:lncRNA
ACACACACACACACACACACACGUGUCAGGACAAGAGUAAGGAGCAGUCGUGUUGUCCACUGGGGCCGUUCCUGUGCUCUGCAUUGAGGCCCUGAGAAUUUAAGUAAACACUUCUCUAAUGAAACCAUCGAGUUGUGUGUGUGUGUGUGUGUGUGUGUGUGUGCAGGAGGACCUACUAUGUGUAAUGCAUUUGUGUCCACGUUGGUGUGUGUGUGUGUGCGGGGGAACCUACUAUGUGUAAUGCAUUUGUGUCCACGUUUGGUGUGUGUGCGGUCUGGCUGUGCAUAUGAAUAUCUUCUGUUGGGACCCAAGUGGAGAAAAGAGAUCCAUUUGGGCAGGAAGUAAUUGUGAAGAGACAAACACUGAAUUAAAAGGACAUUACUUCCAGCUUGCCUCUCUGUCAAGCCACCAAGUGAAGGGGACAUAUAGAUACUCUGUCAAAUCAUAAUGCACAACUCUCAGAAUGUAUACAAUGUUUAGUAAAGCAGUAUACAAUAUCAUAUAAUCAAUCAAAUAUAUAAUGCACAAUAAAAUAUAGUCUAAUGCAGGGUGAAUAUAGUCUAAUGCAGGGAGAAUUGUGUCAUAUUUUGUUCCAAGCUGAAAGUCCCCCUGAAUGAAUAAGCAUUGAUGAAGUAAGACUGAAUGCUAAUGCCCGAAUGGGCCAUGGGUACGCUACUGUGUGUGUGCCUGUAGUAUGGAUACUGUGUGUAUAGUGUGUCUGUAGUAUGGAUACUGGGUGUAUAGUGUGUGUGUAUAGUGUGUCUGUAGUAUGGAUACUGUGUGUAUAGUGUGUGUAUAGUUGUGUGUGUGUAUAGUGUGUCUGUAUGGAUACUGGGUGUAUAGUGUGUCUGUAUGGAUACUGGGUGUAUAGUGUGUGUAUAGUGUGUGUGUAUGGAUACUGGGUGUAUAGUGUGUGUAUAGUGUGUGUAUAGUGUGUCUGUAUGGAUACUGGGUGUAUAGUGUGUCUGUAUGGAUACUGGGUGUAUAGUGUGUGUGUAUAGUGUGUCUGUAUGGAUACUGGGUGUAUAGUGUGUGUAUAGUGUGCCUGUAUGGAUACUGGGUGUAUAGUGUGUGUAUAGUGUGCCUGUAUGGAUACUGGGUGUAUAGUGUUGUGUCUGUAUGGAUACUGGGUGUAUAGUGUGUCUGUAGUAUGGAUACUGG